rnacentral:lncRNA from 1 species
GCGAGGUGACAAGUUGGGGGAAUACACGACAAAAAACCGUUACAAACGGUGUGUCACAGAGGAUCUAAACCUGUUGAGAAAUGAAAUAACAACAUAUCUGGAACAAACUAGAAAUUAUUAUACAAAAAUUUGGAGCCUAAAGAUUCCCAGCAAGGUACGGAUCAAUCUAUUGAGAAUUAAAAAUAAUUUCUUUCCUACAUUAAGUAACUUAAAAGCCCGUAGGCUGAGAUAUGAUGCCCUAUGCUCGCUAUGUGGGGAAGAAGAUGAGUCAGUUAGCCAUAUUUUUAGAGAUUGCAACCUUGCGAAACAAGUCCUCUAGCAAAUGACAGUGACAUUGCCGCCCAUACAUGACAAUCAAGAAUGGAAACAAUGGUUAGCUGAGACGUUCAAUAUCAAUAAUGCAUAUAAAUCCACAUGCCUAGCAGUAUCGCUAUGGACAAUACGGCAUAACAUGAGCAAAUACUACCACGAAGGUAUUCAACAAAGAAUAUGCGAGAUAGUGGCCUUUAUCAAAGCAUAUAUAACAAAAAUUUGACAUGCUAUAGGAAGCACUGAAAUGCAAACAUAUUACAGAUCCCAGUGGGAACCCCCAACAGAAAGUCAAGUAAAAGCAAACUUUGUUACCGCGUUUCAACAAUAGAGCAACAAAACAGUUUCGAAAAUAAUCAUCAGAAAUCAUAUGGGGCUAGUUAUGAGUUCAUGUACUUACCUGAUCAACAACGUUUGAGAUCCGACAACCUCCAAAGUGUAUGCAUGCCUUCAAGGAGUUGUCUUUGCAGAAGAAAUGGGGUUUGGCAAUGUAAUCAUCGAAUGGGACUCAAGAACCG